rnacentral:rRNA from 1 species
AUUGAACGCUGGCGGCAGGCCUAACACAUGCAAGUCGAGCGGAGCGGCGGACGGGUGAGGAAUGCCUAGGAAUCUGCAUGUGCGUGGGGGAUAACGUCCGCAAAUGGACGCUAAUACCGCAUACUAUUACAUUAGGCUAGGUCGGAUUAGCUAGUUGGUGGGGUAAAGGCCUACCAAGGCGACGAUCCGUAACUGGUCCGAGAGGAGGAUCAGUCACACUGGAACUGAGACACGGUCCAGACUCCUACGGGAGGCAGCAGUGGGGAAUAUUGGACAAUGGGCGAAAGCCGGAUCCAGCCAUGCCGCGUGUGUGAAGAAGGUCUUCGGAUUGUAAAGCACUUUAAGUUGGGAGGCGUUACCAACAGAAGAAGCACCGGCUAACUUCGUGCCAGCAGCCGCGGUAAUAC